ensembl:lncRNA
UGUUCAUUUGAAAUUUUGAAAUCAGUAUUCAAAAAGUACACAUAUCAACUGAAUUUCUAGAAUAAAGCUAACUUAGAUGAUGAGUAAAAUUGCUUUAUUUAUAUUUUGAUGCGUAAAAUGGAAUUAGAGAGAAAACUUUCCUUUAGAAUGCUGAGGAUUUUCAUGACAUUGGAAAUUUGCUUUUUAAAAUGCUGUGGAAUUUGCUGACAUGGCAUUUGAGCCUCAUAUUUUCUAGUGUGAAGAAACCUGCAAAGUUAUGUGUUUUAAAUAAUGUGGUUAACAAGACUGACUCUCUGUGUAAGACACUGCAAAACCCUCCUCAGAACUAGAUAGACUGGUCUUCUUGACUUAACACAGAACUUAUAGAAAAAUUUACAAUGCUCUAAUCCAAAAACCAAGACUAAGCUACUUUCAAAGAAACAUCUACAUACAAAAGAUCGGUUAAAGAGCCAAUAGCUAAUUAGCUGUGCAUCCUUUUAAUAAAUAAGACAGCUAUGCCAACUUCUAUUGUUUGAUACUAAACUUACCACUAAUAAUCUGUCGCUCUGAUUAUUUUUGUGAAGUAGCUCUUGGUAUGUAUUGAAGCUGCUCUCAGAUGGCUAAGCCUCCCACCCCAGCCUGCCAAGUGACUACAUUACAGGGGUCUGCCAGCUCACAUCUAAAUGAACAACAACAAAAAGCUCACAUGAUGUUCUCAAGCAUAAACAGUGCUAGCUUUCUGCUGGUUGUCAUAGAAGAUCCCGACUCAGAACUCUGUGUUCUGGCAGAUUAUUGUAUCACUUUCAAACUUUGUAACUAUUUGCAAGACAAUUUUCUAUUUCAGUGUCAUGAGCUGUCUGUAAGUGUUUUCUCCACUGAACAUGUCCACCCUUCUCUGGCACCUGGGAUGAAUUCUCAAAGAGACCAAUAGUAACGGGCUACCUGCCUGCUUGCCUGCAUGUACUGUUAACACCUGGCACUCUGUAAUCCAUCACCAGGAGGCUUUGAAAGAAGUGACACCUUGGUUACUGUGAUGUGUUCAUGCCAUGAAGAACUUGGGAAGAAGAUUGGAUCAAACGUGAUGAUAGUGACUACCCUGCAGUUACUAGACUAUGGCCUGUGCUGUUGGAGAUCUGAGGUUAUUAAUGGAGAUGUUAUAGCUGAUAUCCGGGAAAUCAGUCCCCUGCAAAGUGAAGACCACCUGUGCUGUGAUAUUUUAAUCUUUAUCAUCUAAAUAGGUUAAAAAAAUGACACUUCCAAAGGGCUGAGGCAGGAGAAUUCCAAGUUUGAGGGAAGCCUGGACUAUUUAGGAAAAACAUCUGUUACAAAGAAGAAAACAAAAAAGAAAUUUCUAUUACUUUAUUCCUUUAAACCCCAUCAGCUGUGUUUUAUUGUAUUUGAAUCUCUGAAUAUAUAGUUUUCAACUGACAGAUGUAUGAAAAAGCUGUGUAUAAUAUAUACAGUAGAUUGUAUAUAAUAUGUAGUACUUAUAU